rnacentral:rRNA from 1 species
GUCGAGCGGGCGUAGCAAUACGUCAGCGGCAGACGGGUGAGUAACGCGUGGGAACGUACCUUUUGGUACGGAACAACACAGGGAAACUUGUGCUAAUACCGGAUAAGCCCUUACGGGGAAAGAUUUAUCGCCGAAAGAUCGGCCCGCGUCUGAUUAGCUAGUUGGUGAGGUAAUGGCUCACCAAGGCGACGAUCAGUAGCUGGUCUGAGAGGAUGAUCAGCCACAUUGGGACUGAGACACGGCCCAAACUCCUACGGGAGGCAGCAGUGGGGAAUAUUGGACAAUGGGGGCAACCCUGAUCCAGCCAUGCCGCGUGAGUGAUGAAGGCCCUAGGGUUGUAAAGCUCUUUUGUGCGGGAAGAUAAUGACGGUACCGCAAGAAUAAGCCCCGGCUAACUUCGUGCCAGCAGCCGCGGUAAUACGAAGGGGGCUAGCGUUGCUCGGAAUCACUGGGCGUAAAGGGUGCGUAGGCGGGUCUUUAAGUCAGGGGUGAAAUCCUGGAGCUCAACUCCAGAACUGCCUUUGAUACUGAAGAUCUUGAGUCCGGGAGAGGUGAGUGGAACUGCGAGUGUAGAGGUGAAAUUCGUAGAUAUUCGCAAGAACACCAGUGGCGAA